CCUACGGGUGGCAGCAGUGGGGAAUAUUGGACAAUGGGGGGAACCCUGAUCCAGCGACGCCGCGUGAGUGAAGAAGUAUUUCGGUAUGUUAAGCUCUAUCAGCAGGGAAGUAAGAAAUGACGCUACCUGACUAAGAAGCCUCGGCUAACUACGUGCCAGGAGCCGCGGUAAUACGUAGGCGGCAAGCGUUAUCCGGAUUUACUGGGUGUAAAGGGAGCGUAGACGGCGAUGCAAGUCUGAGGUGAAAGGCGGGGGCCCAACCCCCGGCCUGGUUUGGAAACUGUAUGGCUGGGGUCAGGAGAGGUAAGUGGAAGUCCUAGUGUAGCGGUGAAAUGCGUAGAUAUUAGGAGGAACACCAGUGGCGAAGGCGGCUUACUGGACUGUAACUGACGUUGAGGCUCGAAAGCGUGGGGAGCAAACAGGAUUAGAUACCCGGGUAGUC
rnacentral:rRNA from 1 species